CUUUACUUUUGUGGAUCCAAAACUCCUUUUUCAUUACAAAUAUGAAUUAGUGAUCAGUCAGAAAUCCUUGCACUGGGACUGUAUUUACCUUUGCAUCUUAGUUCUUUUAUUUGCCUUAUCUUCAUCCUUUGUACCAAGGGUACAAAAAUUGAUGUAAUAUUAUCUUUGGGUAAUUUGGUUCUCUCAGAACUCCUGGAGGUCCAAAGGAAUUGAUCCUGAAGAUCUACUUGUUCCCAUCACUGAGGGAUUUGGAGUCUGUCCAGUGCUUCUAUGAACUCCAUUUCCAUCCUGCUGCUUCCAUCCACAGACAGAGUUUGGAGGCACCUGGGACCAUUGGACAAGCAGAGCAGCCAGUAUUUGAAAAAUGUCUGAGAACAGCACUUGAUAUUAGUCAUGGUCAUAUGAAAACGUCGUGUCAAUAUUUUUUCCAUGGAAAAUACUGCAAGAAAAGAUGCAUUUUGCAGAUUCUGGUCUUCAGGACACAUCCCUACUAUUCAAUCACCUGUGCUCAGGGGAGGAGAAUCCCAAAGACCUGAUUUGCUGAGGCCUCUUGAAGAUUGCAAAUUCAGUAAGGUGGCUGAGGGUAAACAGGGGGUUGCAGAACUUAGCCAAUCCACAUUUUGGCACUGGAAAAUGUCUAAACCAUGUACAUGUUUCUCAUUCCCAGACCUUGGCCAUUCCAGAGGUGACUCUACCCACGUGCCUCUGGAACAUUCAGCAGCUCUCAGGCAGUCAGAUAAUGACUGGGAAGUCUUACUGUUCUCCCUGGAAAUAAUCUGUUUCAGGCAACAGGAGCAGCAGAAGGAAACAUUACCCUGAUGCUGAGAAUGAUUAAAGGCAAAUUUAGACAAGGACCAGCUGUGUCCAGCACCAUUCCAGGAAGCACUGGGGGAAGUCCCUUCCUGUGAUCCCAUAUUAUUGCUUAUGCCCUGACUAAUCCCAUUUCACACCGCUCCCACCUGCACUUGCUCAGUGCUCUGCUCUGCCUCCAUCGUGCACCCUGCCCAUGUAAUUGUAACAUGGGGGGAAACGUGGGGCCCUGUCCAGACAGAGCUGCAGAACCUUAACAUCCUAAUUCCCUCCCGGGGCUUGGGAAUUAGCAUAAUCUCUGUGGUCCUCUGUGGCUCUGAUGCAGCAAGGGCAUUUCUGGAAAAUCCUGUUCUCUGAUUUUGCCUUCCAUCACCGCUCAAUACUCUAAUUGAUAGAUGGUAACUUUGAGGUGAAGCACAACGUGCUUAGAAUGGGAAAUCCCUGACAAAACCUGUAAACAUCACAUUACAAAAGGGUAGCUCAGGCUCUGAGGAAUCAGUCCAUAACCCACCAUUCUUCUGGUCUUUUUGGCUUUGUCUUUCUGCCUCACACCAAUGGGCAGAAUAAAAUACAUCAUGAAAGAGGCAGUAUGUAAAAAAACUGUGCCCAGCUUACCCUCUACCAACAAAGCUUUAAAGCUAUGUCCUUUCCAACUUAGCUGUGAGCAUGCAGCCCUGGAGUGAAAUCCAUGUGUAAUCAGGGAAAAAUGUUCCUCUGGAGUGGCAGUAAGUGGCUCUUCCAAAAGUGUGAAUUGUCCCACGAGCCAAACAGGAGAAGCCCAACAUAACAUCUCAGCCCUCAUCACAUUCCAUUUUGCAAUAUGGUGACAACUGUGAAACAGCUAACUACUUUUUAUUCUUGUUUUCUUAGACCAGGAUGAGUGGGAAAGGAAGACGCUGAUUUUCUAGCUUCCAAAUACCCCAAAAUUCAUUUGCCUAAUACUGUCCGGAAGCCUUAUCCUCAAAACUCUGUGGAUGUGAAUACUCUGAUGUUGUGAAUUCAGAUGAGAUAAACACAGUAAAAAUGCAUUUCAACCUCUGGAUACCCAGGACAUUUAGUGAGAAAUUUCCUCACUAUUUUGUCCAGUUCAAAGCACACACCUCAGGCAUUGCUAUUUGCUUGUCUUUUCUUUACAAGCAUUCAUCUCAGUUGCCUUGCAGUGCUAUCUGCACUGUACCAUUACUUCCUACCUCAAAAGAUGCAGCUACCAAACAGGAAUCUGUGUGCCAACUCUAUCACUGCACUGCUUAAAAUCCUGACAGCCUCCUGUUUGAGGGGAAUCAGUACAGGAUCCAGCUCGGAUAGAUAGAAAUUAAUCAAUGUGACAUUUUACAAUAAAUUCAGAGCACUGGGCUAAUGCUCAGAGCGGGUUUAUUUUGCAAAUGAAACCUCCUACUGCAUGAAUUCUUGUAGUUGCAGUUUGCUGGAAGCUGCAAGAGUACAGCAGAGGGAAGUAUAGCUCAGUAUUUGCCUUGUCUCUGCCUUCUUUCCUCAAUUGUUGCAGAGUUAGUGGACAUUGACAGAAACAAAAUGCUCAGCCAGGUGGAUCUUUGGUCUGAUUAGCUGUUACAUGUUGGCAACUGUUUUUAAUAUAAGUACACACUAACACAAUCUUAUUUUUAUAUGUUAGCAGAUAUGGUAAAAGAAUUGUGUCGUAUUCAAGGUGAUCUGGAAGAAGAGAUAAGAAAGAAGAAUUAUCUACGGCUAUAUAUCCAGCUAUUCAAGAUGGUUGUUCCUUCUUUUUAAUGCAAAUGCCAGAACCAUACAGCAUAUGGCAAGGGAUGCUCCAUCACUUCUAAAGCAUGCUUUAGCUAAUGUAGAAAUGACUUAUGCUGCAUUCCAUCAUUCAGGGAUUAGAUUUUUGAACAUAAUUAAGCAUGUACUGCCUGGUCUUUGAGACACAGGUACAUGCGUUCAGCUUGUUUUCAGAAAUAAAAUCAAGUAGCAAGCUACCAAAAAUAUUUCGUGCAAGCUCUUUGAAUAGAAGGGUCUGCUGAAAAUUUGCAUAAUAUCUUACUUGUGAAAUGUAAAAACUGUCAUAAAUCAUAAUU